CAUCUAGGCGGUCAAUCAAGUCGAAGGUGAAAACUUGUGGCUCAACCAUAAGCUUGCCUACGAGACUGAUUAACUAGAGUACUGGAGAGGUGGACGGAACUACACGAGUAGAGGUGAAAUUCGUAGAUAUGUGUAGGAAUGCCGAUGAUGAAGAUAGUUCACUGGACAGAAACUGACGCUGAAGUGCGAAAGCUAGGGGAGCAAACA
rnacentral:rRNA from 1 species